rnacentral:rRNA from 1 species
UACGUAGGGUGCAAGCGUUGUCCGGAAUUAUUGGGCGUAAAGAGCUCGUAGGCGGUUUGUCGCGUCGGCUGUGAAAGCCCGGAGCUCAACUCCGGGUCUGCAGUCGAUACGGGCAGACUUGAGUGUUGCAGGGGAGAUUGGAAUUCCUGGUGUAGCGGUGGAAUGCGCAGAUAUCAGGAGGAACACCCAAUGGCGAAGGCAGAUCUCUGGGCCGUAACUGACGCUGAGGAGCGAAAGCAUGGGGAGCGAACAG